CCUUGGGCACGUGCACGGCUCUGCAGGGCGGGAGCAGCGCCUUCCAUCCCCACAUCCAUCUGGAAGACAGCGAUCCGGCCCACGGGCAGUGGUGGGUACCGUGGCGGAGCGUGGCAGAGCGAGGUGCAGCAACAGCGAGACGUGUGUGAUAAAAAUUUUGAAGCGAUGGAAAGGAGUUGGUGGUGGGGGAGCGGAAUGAUUAAAUAACCAAAAAAAUCAAUCCUUCGUUCGGUCUGGCCAGAUGCACGUUUCUCGGCUCAGAACAAGUAAUUAAGCGGACAUUUGUGAGCACUAAUUUGGAUCACACGUAUGUGUAUGUGUGAGAGCUGCGAGCCAAAACAUGCAAAACCGCCUCUCAUUGAGGAGGCGAUGAAAAACGCAGGAAAAAACACGGAACGGGGUGCCGAGAACUCGCUGGAGCUGAAAUCGGUGUGUAAAUUAGG